ACUGCCUGCUGCAGAGAGCUGCUCUGAAGAGCCUCCUCGCUAACAUUUCAUUCCGAUUUCUCUGCAGCUCCUCUAUUUAUACCAAGCCAUCGUAAAUGGAACUCUAACCUUGGCCCUGUGUUUAUAUAAAGCAUGUGCCCACUCUGAGGACAAGACCAGAGUGAAGUACCAAAGCGGAAGGACAUCAGAUCUGCACAGGAGACUGUGUAACUUCUCAGAGAUGUAAGAGCAGCUCCUGAUGAGUGUCAGUGAAGAAGACAGUAUCAGAAAAAAUACACCAAAAGGCAUGAGGGAGAACCACUGAGAGGAACCAAAAUUUAAAAGGAGUACCUUUCUAUAAGCAUAUGGAAGAACCACUGAAAGUACCCAUGACUAAAAAUUCCCUAAGAGCAUGAGGAAGAACCACUAAGAGGAACUCCCCAAGAGCAUGAGGAAGAACCAGUGGCGUCUCUACAUUAGGGGCCUUUAGGGCCUGGUCCCACCAGAUGUCACUAUGGAUCAGUGCACGACAUGAUCAAUAAUUCAUAUAUAACUAAUAUAUAUUGCUGUUGUCAGAAGAAAACCUUGUAUUUCCAAAAUGGUAACUAAUGUAAGUCAAUGGAACCAGACUUUUUUCAAAGUCAUUUUAGGUCAUUUCUUUUUGUCCAUUCACCAAAAAAUUUUCAUACAAUGUAAGGGGUAAAGGGUAUUUUCAAAUUAUGUCAAAAACUUAAAAAACAUUGCACGUUUAUUACGAAUGACAAUGGUAGAGCUGUUCGAUACAAUCCAAAGAUCUUUCUGUACCUGUUGUGUAAAUGCUAACAGGCUGCCUAUUCCUCCUAGCCGUGUUCGUCUAACCAAGUGAGUAGUUUACCGUAUGGACGUUGCUACGCAGCUAGCGAUAGUUCCUCAUCAGUUGUGACAGCAAGACAAUAUAAUGAGUCAAGUUGAAAAUGUAAUAAAAAAUAAAUCUGGUACCCUUCCAUUAGAGCAGAAAUUGGACAUUAAAUGUUUUGGGACCACACCAGCCAGAGGCGUUUAACAUUGUUCUGUCUGGAAAAGGACAAAAACUGCUACUUCAAUCCUGAGAGGUUCAAGAGAAAAACAUGGCAAACUGCAGGUGCAGCUAAAAAUCACUCUUCUGCUUGCCUGCCCUUGAUAUGGUAUCUAUCUCAUGAAUUCAUUCAUGGAUUGGUGGACUUUGACAGAAAGGUUUCUGACAAGUUUACCCAGAUGAAAGAUCAGCAUGCAUCUUUUCUUUUCGAGCAGUGAACAUCUCUGGUGAGUCAUUCUGCAUUAUUAGAAGGCAUGUUAUUCUUCAUGCCGGGAAAGCAAUGUGUUUCCCUGCUCUGAUAUGCUGUUUUGAAUAUGUAGUUGCAGACCACAAUGAUCGAUUAUAGAUAACUUUGGAUUUGUAAUGCAAUGGGAUGCUGUAUAACCAGGGUUUGUGAGAUCUAUUGUCAUUAUCAUAUCACUCCUACUCCUGUUUCCACUUUGAUUAACUCCUGCACCAUUUUAAGUGAAUUUGUGAUUUCAUGAUGGAGUGCAUUUGUGUUUGCAUUAGGUUUGUGUGUGUGUGUGUGUGUAGUUUUAUUGAUGAGUCGACUGCUGCCCCUACAGUUAAUUGGCCCAUCAGGCCUUCUGUGGCUGAGACGCCACUGGGGAGAACCUGUGUGAGGAAUCAAAACUCAAAAGUAGCAACUCCCUGAGAGCAUGAGGAGGAACCAAUGAGAGUAACUAAGACUCAAAUGGAGAGCAUUAGGAAGAACUAUGGAGUGGCUUUAUCUACUGACUUGUGAAAAUAAAGCAGUACUUUUGUUUCAAA